GACGAACGCUGGCGGCGUGCCUAAUACAUGCAAGUAGAACGCUGAAGGAGGAGCUUGCUUCUCUGGAUGAGUUGCGAACGGGUGAGUAACGCGUAGGUAACCUGCCUGGUAGCGGGGGAUAACUAUUGGAAACGAUAGCUAAUACCGCAUAAUAGUAGAUGUUGCAUGACAUUUGCUUAAAAGGUGCAAUUGCAUCACUACCAGAUGGACCUGCGUUGUAUUAGCUAGUUGGUGAGGUAACGGCUCACCAAGGCAACGAUACAUAGCCGACCUGAGAGGGUGAUCGGCCACACUGGGACUGAGACACGGCCCAGACUCCUACGGGAGGCAGCAGUAGGGAAUCUUCGGCAAUGGACGGAAGUCUGACCGAGCAACGCCGCGUGAGUGAAGAAGGUUUUCGGAUCGUAAAGCUCUGUUGUAAGAGAAGAACGAGUGUGAGAGUGGAAAGUUCACACUGUGACGGUAUCUUACCAGAAAGGGACGGCUAACUACGU
rnacentral:rRNA from 1 species